GACGAACGCUGGCGGCGUGCUUAACACAUGCAAGUCGAACGGAAAGGCCCUGCUUUUGUGGGGUGCUCGAGUGGCGAACGGGUGAGUAACACGUGAGUAACCUGCCCUUGACUUUGGGAUAACUUCAGGAAACUGGGGCUAAUACCGGAUAGGAGCUCCUGCUGCCUGGUGGGGGUUGGAAAGUUUCGGCGGUUGGGGUUGGACUCGCGGCUUAUCAGCUUGUUGGUGGGGUAGUGGCUUACCAAGGCUUUGACGGGUUGCCGGCCUGAGAGGGUGACCGGCCACAUUGGGACUGAGAUACGGCCCAGACUCCUACGGGAGGCAGCAGUGGGGAAUAUUGCACAAUGGGCGGAAGCCUGAUGCAGCAACGCCGCGUGCGGGAUGACGGCCUUCGGGUUGUAAACCGCUUUCGCCUGUGACGAAGCGUGAGUGACGGUAAUGGGUAAAGAAGCACCGGCUAACUACGUG
rnacentral:rRNA from 1 species